rnacentral:tRNA from 1 species
UGAUAAUUAGUUUAACAAAAACAAAUGAUUUCGACUCAUUAAACUGUAAUCUAAUUUACAAUUAUCAA